GUACUUCCCCUUUUUACCCCACAGGUAAUCCGGAAAUCGACAAAAAAACGUACAUAAAAAGUUACCGGUUUUUUCUAUUUAUCGAAAAAAAAAAACACAAGAACGUGUCAAAAUAUGACCUCCCCAAAGAUGCGCCGAGUAAUCAAAAAUGCUAAAAUAAAGGUCCUAUAACGGUUUUGAUUUGAUCGAGACUUCUGAUAAAAAAAAAAUUGUUGACGCAAAAAGAAAACGCGCCAUAGUAAAACAUUCCUGCGCAUCGCAAAAUGUUUUUAAAACUUUUUUACGACACACACAUAGUAUAAUAUUAUAAUACCAUAUUAGAAUAAUAUCGUAUAACGAGUAAACCAAAACCGUAUUAGUUCGUAAUUUCAGACGAGUCGAGUUGAUAUUCUAUAAUAAAAUUAUUAUAAUAUACUCAAUAUAGUAUAAAUUUACAAGUUUGAAAAUAUACAUUCUCAUUUUAACGUUUAGGUAUGUUUGGCACUCGACUUGAAAUCAUUCCUCGCCUUAGGCCUUAAACAUAAUAUAUAGUAUAUAUGUAUAUUGAAAUACUGACUUGAUGACCUGUAUACAAUAUUUAUAAGCCUAUAAUAUUCUCGCGAUAUUGGCUUUCACCGAAACAGCAUUUAAUAUAAUGUUAUAAUCACGUGACUUGUCAUAUUUCUACGCACAAUCUGUAUAUUACGCAUCUAUCUAUACACCGUUGUAAUGAUAAAAAAACGAAUUUCAUAAAGAAAAAAAAAUACUAAAAUAUUAUCGCGAGUCGGACAUCGACUGAUUGCUUAUACAUUAUCAUUUUAAUUUUCAAAAAAAUAUAUAUGUACUCUUUUAUUUAUUUAUUUUUUCAUCAUACCAACCUUAUAGAACUUAUAGUUAUAAAGACGCAAUUCAUUAGUCAUUAAUGUGUCCCUUGUUAAAGGUUAAAAAUCAAAUUUCGUUAUUUUUUCUGCAUCACCCUAUUAAAAGCGGUUAAUAUAUAAAAUAUUGAUAUGAACAACUUCGAAAGAAAAAUACGAUUAUAUUUUAAGUUUGAGUCCA